GGAUCUCACUAUGUAGUUCAGGCUGGCUUUGAACUCACUAUGUAGCCCAGGCUGGCCUUGAACUCAUGGUGAUCUUCCUGCCUUAGCCUCCCAGUGCUGGGAUUACAGGCAUGCACCACCAAGCC
rnacentral:miRNA from 1 species